rnacentral:rRNA from 1 species
AAAGUCCGCCUUAACAUACUUAUCUCCAGUGUGAAGGCACCCCCCGCCACUCCCCUGGGGACUUUGAAUAUGGAGAAGCAAAUUCCCGCGGAGGAGAGUGAAUUUCAUCCCCGCCGCGAAGGGGGGAGACCGUAGAACACCCCCUGGGGGAGGGCGUCUGGUUGUCAGGACUUAACGGGGAGAGAACGCGGGGUAGCAAUCUUAAUUAUCUUCUGGUCCACGCACUCCCAAUGGCUGAGGGGUAUCUUCUAGGUUUUUUCCCCUUUUAAGUGCAGCAGGUGAAUUAAAAAUUCCUCUUCGGGAGUUCAAUUUCCCCAGUUUCAAAAAAUCCUAGGAGGGUGGGGGGCGGCGGCUCAACCGGUGGAUCAUGUGGUUUACUUGGAAGCACUUAGAAGCACAUAAUCCGGUCAAAACAUCCUCACACAACCAUAGAGAUGGGGCUUUCCAUUCGGGUACAGAGUGACAGGUGGUGCAUGGUUGUCGUCAGCUCGUGUGGUGAGAUGUUGGGUUAAGUCCCGCAACAAGCGCAACCCUUGAUUUUAGUUGCCAGCAUUCAGUUGGGCACUUUAAGGUGACUGCCGGUGACAAACCGGAGGAAGGUGGGGAUGACGUCAAAUCAUCAUGCCCCUUAUGACCUGGGUUACACACGUGCUACAAUGGACAGAACAAAGGGCUGCAAGACCGCAAGGUUUAGCCAAUCCCAUAAAUCUGUUCUCAGUUCGGAUCGCAGUCUGCAACUCGACUGCGUGAAGCUGGAAUCGCUAGUAAUCGCGGAUCAGCAUGCCGCGGUGAAUACGUUCCCGGGCCUUGUACACACCGCCCGUCACACCACGAGAGUUUGCAACACCCGAAGUCGGUGUUUAACCUUUAUGGAGCCAGCCGCCGAAUGAGUGGGGCAGAUGUAGGUAGUGAACUAUGCCUGGAAGCAGUGGUAGCA